AGCAGCCGCGGUAAUUCCAGCUCCAAUAGCGUAUAUUAAAGUUGUUGCAGUUAAAAAGCUCGUAGUUGAACCUCGGGGUCUACCCAUUGGUCAGGCUUAAUUGUCUGCACUGGUGAGAUGGAUCUCUACCUUCUGAGGAACUUUCAUGCCAUUUAUUUGGUGUGAUGGGAAAUCAGGACUGUUACUUUGAAAAAUUAGAGUGUUUAAAGCAGACUAUCGUCUGAAUACAUUAGCAUGGAAUAAUGAAAUAGGACGGACUGAUUCUAUUUCGUUGGUUUCUAGGAUCACCGUAAUGAUUAAUAGGGAUAGUUGGGGGCAUUAGUAUUCAAUUGUCAGAGGUGAAAUUCUUGGAUUUAUUGAAGACUAACUACUGCGAAAGCAUUUGCCAAGGAUGUUUUCAUUAAUCAAGAACGAAAGUUAGGGGAUCGAAGACGAUCAGAUACCGUCGUAGUCUUAACCAUAAACUAUGCCGACUAGGGAUCGGACGAAGUUAAUUUUAUAAUG
rnacentral:rRNA from 1 species